rnacentral:lncRNA from 1 species
GACAACUUGGCGGUACAGGGUUUGUCAGUAAUGAAGAAACUUCUGGGUUCCAUUCCCCCAUACCACAGGAACAAAAAAAUUUUUUUAAACGUGUAUAUGUGUACAUACAUAUAUAUGUGUUCACAUAACCUUUUUUUUUGUAGUAUUUUUUUUUUAGUUAUAAAUGGACUUUUGUGGUGCUGAGGAUCGAACCCAGCGCCUUACGCAUGAUAGGCGAGUGCUCUCUCCCUCUGAGCUACAACCCCAGCCCAGGAACCUUUUAAUAUGAAAAAUUCAUAACCUUUUUGUAAAUAUCAGGUACUAUGCUAGAAAACGGGUCAGAUGCUUGAAGUCAUUACACAUUGACCUACAGGAAGUACAUGUAGACACUAGAAUGAGAACUGGAGCCAGAAGGGAAUGAUAGGAUAGUUAUUUGAAUAUAAUAAAGUGGGUGAGGGCUGGGGAUGUGGCUCAAGCGGUAGCGCGCUCUCCUGGCAUGCGUGUGGCCUGGGUUCGAUCCUCAGCACCACAUACAAAGAUGUUGUGUCCACCGAAAACUAAAAAAUAAAUAUUAAAAAAAUAUUCUCUU